UACGAAGGGGGCUAGCGUUGCUCGGAAUCACUGGGCGUAAAGGGUGCGUAGGCGGGUCUUUAAGUCAGAGGUGAAAUCCUGGAGCUCAACUCCAGAACUGCCUUUGAUACUGAGGAUCUUGAGUACGGGAGAGGUGAGUGGAACUGCGAGUGUAGAGGUGAAAUUCGUAGAUAUUCGCAAGAACACCAGUGGCGAAGGCGGCUCACUGGCCCGUUACUGACGCUGAGGCACGAAAGCGUGGGGAGCGAACAGG
rnacentral:rRNA from 1 species